GGCUUCGUAGCCCAGCUGGUAGAGCACCCUAUCGAGUCUGCCAUCGCUGGUUCGAAUCCAAUCGAAGCCC